rnacentral:rRNA from 1 species
GACGAACGCUGGCGGCGUGCUUAACACAUGCAAGUCGAACGGAAAGGCCCUGCUUUUGUGGGGUGCUCGAGUGGCGAACGGGUGAGUAACACGUGAGUAACCUGCCCUUGACUUUGGGAUAACUUCAGGAAACUGGGGCUAAUACCGGAUAGGAGCUCCUGCUGCACGGUGGGGGUUGGAAAGUUUCGGCGGUUGGGGAUGGACUCGCGGCUUAUCAGCUUGUUGGCGGGGUAGUGGCUUACCAAGGCUUUGGCGGGUAGCCGGCCUGAGAGGGUGACCGGCCACAUUGGGACUGUGAUACGGCCCAGACUCCUACGGGAGGCAGCAGUGGGGAAUAUUGCACAAUGGGCGGAAGCCUGAUGCAGCAACGCCGCGUGCGGGAUGACGGCCUUCGGGUUGUAAACCGCUUUCGCCUGUGACGAAGCGUGAGUGACGGUAAUGGGUAAAGAAGCACCGGCUAACUACGUG